GCUCCAGAGAGCAAGGAGCAGAGCUGGGGAGGGGAAGGAGCUUCACCUUGACCCUCCCCCUGACCUUCACGGAAGACACCAAUCAAUGAAUUCACCACAUUCGUACGCAGCCUCUCGCCCUCCCUCCGGCGGCCCCUUCCCAGCUCUGCAGGGUUCCCCCUCGAAUUCCGGGUGACCCUCGCGUUGGCCCGGGGCCGGCCUGGCCCUGGUGAAGGCCGAGGACUACGCACACCCCCCGUCUUGGAUGUUCUCCUGAGAGUCUGGGAGGAACUCGGAGUCAGCCUCUGACACGUUACUGGCGAGAGGAGACGCAGCGCCUGCCAGUUUGCUCCGGGCACAGAGCAUGUUAACAGCUUAACUGGGUCCAAAACACAGAGUCUGGAUGAAGUCAGGCCUUUGACCUGCAUUCUGAGCCAGCAAGCCCGUCGACGUGGGGGACUUGGGGAAGAACUGCGCUGCGCCAUGUUGAGUUCCGUGGCCUGUGUCCGUCACUCGGUCUACAGCUGCUCCUCCCUGACAUGCUUUCCGGGACAGUCAGCACCCCACUUGCCUCUCCCGGAUGAACUGGAUGCCAUGGUACAGCGGUCAGUCAUCUAACAACGUCAAGGGUUGCUUUUCACCGUCCGCUGCCCUCCAAUGAGUCAAGUUACUAGUAGGUAAGGUUGCCACCGCUUUUUACCAACAUCUCAGCCAAACAACCAUUCCUGCACCUUCACGUACCAAUCGCAGAGCAAGGCGCAUGUAAGAGAACAGAAAAAUAACCCAAACGUGGACAGCGGAGCGAGAAGGAGAGACCUCACCCCACAGUGACGCCCAGGCCCCAGGGGUUCCCGAUGACUUCUGUACGUGCACCCGGGUUGCCUGUACAUAGAAACCUGUACCUAUUUAACGUAGCUCAACCACGUUACACGUGAGUUUCUAGAGAAGCUUAUCUGUGAUGCGUGUGUUCAGUUAUGACAUGAGCUCAUUGUUAGAACUCAAUAAA